AGAGAUACAAGUGAAUUCAAGAGGAAUGGGAAAUAUAAAAGAAAAACUUCUCCUUCCUGCUGAAACCACUUCUAAGAAAGUGGCAGAUAUUAAGCUCAUCGAAGGAUGUCCCACUGUACAGAUCAACAGUGAUCAUCUGUAAAUUGUGGAGUAACCCCAAUCAUCCCUGUAUCCAUUCCACUACAGCUCCACCACAGGUUUAACUACCAACGUGAGGAUGAAGGAUAGCCACAAGGCUAAAGUGUCUUUAUUCUAGGUGGACCCAUGGAUGAUCAGGCAGACCUGUUAACCUUGUCUAAAACCCUAUGAAGGGAGAAUGAGUGCUAUAUAUUUGGAGGCUUUCUUUUAUUUUAGCUUAUGUGGUUAACAGACAUUAUAUGUGAUCCAACUGUGUUGCUCCACUGAGGACGUU